UACGUAGGGAGCAAGCGUUGUCUGGAAUUACUGGGCGUAAAGGGCGCGUAGGUGGGCGUUUAAGUCAGAUGUGAAAACUUUGGGCUCAACCCAAAGAUUGCAUUUGAAACUAAGCGUCUUGAGGGCAGGAGAGGAAAGUGGAAUUCCUAGUGUAGCGGUGAAAUGCGUAGAUAUUAGGAGGAACACCAGUGGCGAAGGCGAUUUGCUGGACUGCAACUGACGUUGAGAUGCGAAAGCUAGGGGAGCAAACGGGAUUAGAUACCCUGGUAGU
rnacentral:rRNA from 1 species